rnacentral:lncRNA from 1 species
CCUUUUUAUUCUUCUACCGAAAUCGCAACAUCAAACACACAAAGCCUUCUGUAUCGCCAGGUAGCUAUCCACGUGGUGCUUUCUCUCUUUUUAUUUUAUUGAUUUUUUUUCGUAGAAUGUUAAUUGUUUUUUUUUAAAAUUGUUCCUCCCAGGGCAUGGCGUAUUGAUAUUGGGUAGGGGUAUAUGCUUCUUCCUCGGCCUCAGAUUCCUUGUGCCCACCGCCACUGCGCGUGUUCUUCACCUGCAUUUAUAUUUCCAUUAUUCAGAUAUUAAUUACCAAUAAUGUAUUAGAUUGUGAAAAUAGUCUAAUUAUAUUAUUA